rnacentral:rRNA from 1 species
UACGGAGGGUGCAAGCGUUAUCCGGAUUCACUGGGUUUAAAGGGUGCGUAGGCGGGUUGGUAAGUCCGUGGUGAAAUCUCCGAGCUUAACUGGGGAACUGCGUCUGAUACUGGCGGACUUGAGGACAGGAGAGGAACGCGGAAUUCCAGGUGUAGCGGUGAAAUGCGUAGAUAUCUGGAGGAACACCGGUGGCGAAGGCGGCGUUCUGGACUGUUUCUGACACUGAAAAACGAAAGCCAGGGGAGCAAACGGG